GACGAACGCUGGCGGCGUGCUUAACACAUGCAAGUCGAACGGAAAGGCCCUGCUUUUGUGGGGUGCUCGAGUGGCGAACGGGUGCGUAACACGUGAGUAACCUGCCCUUGACUUUGGGAUAACUUCAGGAAACUGGGGCUACUACCGGAUAGGAGCUCCAGCUGCAUGGUGGGGGUUGGAACGUUUCGGCGGUUGGGGAUGGACUCGCGGCUUAUCAGCUUGUUGGUGGGGUAGUGGCUUACCAAGGCUUUGACGGGUAGCCGGCCUGAGAGGGUGACCGGCCACAUUGGGACUGAGAUACGGCCCAGACUCCUACGGGAGGCAGCAGUGGGGAAUAUUGCACAAUGGGCGGAAGCCUGAUGCAGCAACGCCGCGUGCGGGAUGACGGCCUUCGGGUUGUAAACCGCUUUCGCCUGUGACGAAGCGUGAGUGACGGUAAUGGGUAAAGAAGCACCGGCUAACUACGUG
rnacentral:rRNA from 1 species